UACAGAGGGUGCGAGCGUUAAUCGGAUUUACUGGGCGUAAAGGGCACGUAGGCGGUAAGAUGUGUGUGAUGUGAAAGCCCCGGGCUCAACCUGGGAAGUGCAUCGCAAACUAUCUAACUAGAGUAUAUGAGAGGGUGGCGGAAUUUCCGGUGUAGCGGUGAAAUGCGUAGAGAUCGGAAGGAACGUCAAUGGCGAAGGCAGCCACCUGGCAUAAUACUGACGCUGAGGUGCGAAAGCGUGGGGAUCGAACAGG
rnacentral:rRNA from 1 species